UACGAAGGGUGCAAACGUUGCUCGGAAUUAUUGGGCGUAAAGCGCACGUAGGCGGCCUUGCAAGUCGGAUGUGAAAUCCCUCGGCUUAACCAAGGAAGUGCAUCCGAAACUGCAGUGCUUGAGUACUUAAGAGGAUCGCGGAAUUCCCGGUGUAGAGGUGAAAUUCGUAGAUAUCGGGAGGAACACCAGUGGCGAAGGCGGCGAUCUGGGAAGAUACUGACGCUGAGGUGCGAAAGCGUGGGGAGCAAACAGG
rnacentral:rRNA from 1 species